ACCUGGUUGGCUCAGUCGGUGGAGCAUGCAACUCUUGAUCUCAAGAUUGUGAGUUUGAACCCCACAUUGGGUA
rfam:Canis lupus familiaris chromosome 20, whole genome shotgun sequence.